rnacentral:rRNA from 1 species
UACGUAGGGUGCGAGCGUUAACCGGAAUUACUGGGCGUAAAGCGUGCGCAGGCGGUUUUGUAAGCCAGAUGUGAAAUCCCCGGGCUUAACCUGGGAAUGGCAUUUGGGACUGCAAGGCUGGAGUGUGGCAGAGGAGACUGGAAUUCCUGGUGUAGCAGUGAAAUGCGUAGAUAUCAGGAGGAAUACCGAUGGCGAAGGCAGGUCUCUGGGCUGACACUGACGCUCAUGCACGAAAUCGUGGGGAGCAAACAGG